rnacentral:rRNA from 1 species
GAUGAACGCUGGCGGCGUGCCUAAUACAUGCAAGUCGAGCGAACAGACGAGGAGCUUGCUCCUCUGACGUUAGCGGCGGACGGGUGAGUAACACGUGGAUAACCUACCUAUAAGACUGGGAUAACUUCGGGAAACCGGAGCUAAUACCGGAUAAUAUAUUGAACCGCAUGGUUCAAUAGUGAAAGACGGUUUUGCUGUCACUUAUAGAUGGAUCCGCGCCGCAUUAGCUAGUUGGUAAGGUAACGGCUUACCAAGGCGACGAUGCGUAGCCGACCUGAGAGGGUGAUCGGCCACACUGGAGCUGAGACACGGUCCAGACUCCUACGGGAGGCAGCAGUAGGGAAUCUUCCGCAAUAGGCGAAAGCCUGACGGAGCAACGCCGCGUGAGUGAUGAAGGUCUUCGGAUCGUAAAACUCUGUUAUUAGGGAAGAACAAAUGUGUAAGUAACUAUGCACGGCUUGACGGUACCUAAUCAGAAAGCCACGGCUAACUACGUG